UCCAUUUUAGGUGUUCGCUUGUCCCCUUCAACCGCGAAUUAAACCCCUCUAUUUUUCUCUCUCUCAUAUCAAAACCACAACUUCUUCUCUCACUCUUCUCUCUUUACACACACAUUUCCCUCACUAUACUCUCUUACUUUAAUUUCUUCACCUCAUUUUUGCCUUAACAGAAAACAAAAAUAAAUAAAUAAGAAGGCAAUUUUAAACCAUGGAAGCACCAGAAUUCUACAACCAGUCUGGGUUUUGCUCGCAAUUUGCAAAUGAAAAGCAUCAUUCUUUGGAUUCUAAGCCCAG
rnacentral:misc_RNA from 1 species